rnacentral:rRNA from 1 species
AACGCGAAGAACCUUACCUGGGCUUGAAGAGCACCGGACCAUCUUUGGAAACAGAGACUUCCCGCGAGGGACUGGUGUAGAGGUGCUGCAUGGCUGUCGUCAGCUCGUGCCGUGAGGUGUUGGGUUAAGUCCCGCAACGAGCGCAACCCUUACUCGUAGUUGCCACCCGCAAGGGGGAACUCUACGAGGACUGCUCCGGAUAACGGAGAGGAAAGGUGGGGAUGAGGUCAAGUCAGCAUGGCCUUUAUGUCCAGGGCUACACACGUGUUACAAUGCGCGCUACAAAGCGUCGCGAACCCGCGAGGGGGAGCAAAUCGCAAAAAAGCGCGCUCAGUUCGGAUUGCAGUCUGCAACUCGACUGCAUGAAGCCGGAAUCGCUAGUAAUGGCGCCU